rnacentral:rRNA from 1 species
CACGUAGGCGGAUUAGUAAGUUAGGGUGAAAUCCCGGGGCUCAACCUCGGAACUGCCCUUGAUACUGCUAGUCUAGAGUCCGAGAGAGGUGAGUGGAAUUCCUAGUGUAGAGGUGAAAUUCGUAGAUAUUAGGAAGAACACCAGUGGCGAAGGCGGCUCACUGGCUCGGUACUGACGCUGAGGUGCGAAAGCGUGGGGAGCAAACA